rnacentral:rRNA from 1 species
GUAGGUGGCAAGCGUUGUCCGGAAUUAUUGGGCGUAAAGCGCGCGCAGGCGGUUCUUUAAGUCUGAUGUGAAAGCCCACGGCUCAACCGUGGAGGGUCAUUGGAAACUGGAGAACUCGAGUACAGAAGAGGAAAGCGGAAUUCCACGUGUAGCGGUGAAAUGCGUAGAGAUGUGGAGGAACACCAGUGGCGAAGGCGGCUUUCUGGUCUGUAACUGACGCUGAGGCGCGAAAGCGUGGGGAGCAAACAGGGAUUAGAUACCCUGGUAGUCCACGCCGUAAACGAUGAGUGCUAAGUGUUAGGGGGUUUCCGCCCCCUUAGUGCUGCAGCUAACGCAUUAAGCACUCCGCCUGGGGAGUACGGCCGCAAGGCUG